rnacentral:rRNA from 1 species
CCCUUAGAUGUUCUGGGCCGCACGCGCGCUACACUGAUUCAUGCAACAAGUUUUGUCCUUGGCUGAUAGGCCUGGGUAAUCUUUGAACGUGAAUCGUGAUGGGGAUAGAUGAUUGCAAUUAUUCAUCUUCAACGAGGAAUUCCUAGUAAACGCAAGUCAUCAGCUUGCAUUGAUUACGUCCCUGCCCUUUGUACACACCGCCCGUCGCACCUACCGAUUGAAUGGUCCGGUGAAAUCUUCGGAUCUGAGAGAUGUCUAAUUAAUUUCGGACGCCUUUUGGAAAAGUUGCUUAAACCUUACCAUUUAGAGGAAGGUGAAGUCGUAACA